rnacentral:rRNA from 1 species
UACGUAGGGGGCAAGCGUUAUCCGGAUUUACUGGGUGUAAAGGGAGCGUAGACGGCAAUGCAAGUCUGAUGUGAAAACCCGGGGCUCAACCGCGGGAUUGCAUUGGAAACUGCACAGCUCGAGUACUGGAGGGGCAGGCGGAAUUCCUGGUGUAGCGGUGAAAUGCGUAGAUAUCAGGAGGAACACCGGUGGCGAAGGCGGCCUGCUGGACAGAAACUGACGUUGAGGCUCGAAAGCGUGGGGAG